UUGUGUGAUUCCAGCUGACCUACGGCACGGUGUGAGGAGGACAUAUGUGGUGUGGUUUGAUAGUAGAAUAUGCUGCAUCAUGCGUGACCUCCCCACGCCGUGUUGUAUCUUUCCAUCUGGACGUUCAUCAG
rnacentral:pre_miRNA from 1 species